rnacentral:rRNA from 1 species
GAUGAACGCUAGCUAUAGGCUUAACACAUGCAAGUCGAGGGGAAACGGCAUUAUGUGCUUGCACAUUUUGGACGUCGACCGGCGCACGGGUGAGUAUCGCGUAUCCAACCUGCCCUUUACUUGGGGAUACCCCGUUGAAAGACGGCCUAAUACCCGAUGUAAUUCAUUGAUGGCAUCAGAUAUGAAUAACAGAUUUAUCGGUAAAGGAUGGGGAUGCGUCUGAUUAGCUUGUUGGUGAGGUAACGGCUCACCAAGGCGACGAUCAGUAGGGGUUCUGAGAGGAAGGUCCCCCACAUUGGAACUGAGACACGGUCCAAACGCCUACGGGAGGCAGCAGUGAGGAAUAUUGGUCAAUGGGCGCAAGCCUGAACCAGCCAAGUAGCGUGCAGGAAGACGGCCCUAUGGGUUGUAAACUGCUUUUAUACGAGAAUAAUUUGAUGCACGUGUGCGUUAUUGCAUGUAUCGUAUGAAUAAGGACCGGCUAAUUCCGUG